UGAACUGGCCCUGUGGUAGGUAGCCAUGGAGGUAGUUACCAGUGCUGCAAUUUUUCCUUAUUUAGUCGUUUUUGUUAAGGUUUUAAUAAACCUUUUCAAAUAUUUUAAGUGAACAGUUGUCUCUCACAGGCAGAAAUGGGUACUCAACUCUCAAUGUAAUGCCCUCACCAUGAGCCUGAUUUGUGGGUAAAGCUGAGAAUGAUUAUCUGCAGUAGGUGAGAACACAACAAGGAUUUAGUCCAGACUCUUAGCAUAUCUCUGCUGAAGGGUGGUGGAAGGACUGCAGUUCUGGGGAACACAGACAAUGUUUCUGCACAAGCUGGACACGAUCACGAAGAAAUUUCACCUACACUCCAGCUGCAGCCCAAAUACAGCACCAUAAACUGUGAAGCAGGAGUCUGGAGAACAAACAGUUCACAGGUCUGAACAAAAGGACUAGAGCACCUUAUUAAAAAUAAAUGCUAGUGCUUCAGUAAUAAAAAAGCCCUUAAUUGUAUCAUAGUGCCACCUUUACUACCUGAGCAGUGAAACUUGAAGGCUCUAAAAUUGCUCAAAGGGCUGAUGAUUAGCACCUAGAAACACAGGUGUGGCAAGCAGUUAGAAGAAAAUAAACCAGCUGCUGUUCUGCAUAGAAAAUCACUGCAAGUCACCAGUUACAGGAAGCUAAUAUAGAGGAUGACUGACUAGAAAAUUAUAGGGCACAAAAAGACAGCAGUACAAAGUACCAAUGUGCAAACCAAAUGGAAAAAAACAUUGUUCCAAAGCAGGAGCAGACACUGCAGGUCAACCCUGUUUCACCUUUCUAAGCUUUAUUAUUAUCAACAACAACUGAAUGAACUGAGCAACCAGCCCAUGGCAGUCUCCUGGUGGUGAGCAGAAGUUCCUGUGUUGCAGCCACAAGCAGCCACAGUCCUGCUGGGGCUGUGGGACAUUCCCAGGGGCAGGAGCACUGCGGGGAAGGCUGCAGCUCAUUUGCAAAACUGAAGUCUUCAAAGAUGCUUGAGCUGCACCCAGUUCAAAUCAAAAAGGUCAACUUCAGCCACUUAAAGUCCCUCAGGAUGAUCCUUGACAAGGAGCCUGGCAUGCACUCGGGUACAGGAUCCACCCUGCUGAGCCUCUGAGGCUGGAGGAGGAGAGGCCAGGACUGCCACAGGGCCAGCCUGAGGAGCCACAGGCGGUGUCACGGUGACCAACUUGUGCAAGCUGCCAACCGGGCAGGGAGGGUCAGCCUCAGCUGGCAGCCACAGUUAGCCACGAGCUUACCUGAUGAGGACAGAGGUAAUAUCUUAAGGACAAUAUGGAUUUCAUCCUGUCAAGAAACAAGACUCCUUGUGCCAAGGCACAGGGAGGAUGGGAAUCUUAGAGCAGAAAUAAACAGCUUUUGUUUCCUAACCUUCCAGUGGCAUUUACCAAUACUGUAGCAGGUUACUACUUUACUUAAUUACUACUUUAAAUAGGAAUAUCAUUGAAUAGAGGAAAGUAUGUAACACCAUGGACUGUUCACUGAUAAAACAGCUGGUUCAGAAACUCUGGAUGACAUUGGCUUGUUUAUAUUUAUCACCAAUGGUUAUAACAACGUUAAGUAAUAUCAGAAAGAAGACUGGCAACUCAAGCUUAGUACAUUCAAGCAGGUGCUGGUUAAUAUUAAGGAACUUAUUUCUAUUACAAUUGCUGUAGCACUGCAAAUCACAAGAACUCCAGAAUUAAAGGUAUCAUAUUGUCCACAGAUGUUUAAAGUACAAAUUCAUAGUUUCUUCAUUCCUGGAGCCUGAGUAUAAGCUCAAAGCUGUGAUUCUCACACACCAGAAGCUGGAGCCUAAACUAGACCAUGAAAUAUUGUAAGAGUCCCAACACUGAAAAAUGUCAACAUGUCUAAGUUUAAUCAAUGUUGGCUCAAGAAUAAGACAGGUAUUUUACUGAAUUGUGACAAAAAAAAACUUUAAAAACAAAUAUAGAUAUAUGCACAGGAAGGAAAAUAAUACUGUUGCAAAGGUAUAGUAGUGCUGUAAUAUAUAAUUCCCCUCCAUUUCUCCCCCAAUCUGUUAGUUGGUGGGUCAGUUACAAUGCAUACGAAUUGAAUAAUGAAUGGAGGACAAAUACCAAAUUAAACACAUGCUGUACAGUUCAUUUAUUAUCACUGCAGACAGGUGUGGAAUAGAUGUGGAAAAACCUUAAGGUGGUCUCUUUCCAAGUACUGAAAACAACCAGUAUCACAACAGAUACCUUUUACUUGGUAAAAACUGAGACUUCCACCUACCACUGAAAAUAUAAAGAAAAGCCCUUAAUUAUUAAAAAAAAAAAAAAAAAAAAAUCAAAACACAAAAGCCAAUCAACCAAACCAAAAGGCAAGCAAACUAAAAAAUUCCUACCAAUACAACUGACUUAAAGGCACAUUCCUGAUACUACACAGGUUUUUUCAUGGCAACUCUUCCAUCAAUAAAGCCAGCAGUCAUUAACCAGAAAUGAAGAAUUCUGCCACCAACAACCUCCAUAAUGCUGGAAUCUGCAAUACAAUGCAAAUCACUAUUUAGUAGGAAGCGUUCCCUUCCAGUGCUCAUUUUAUGCCUCUAAUGCAGCACUGAGCAUGGAAUUUCUAGUCACCAACAGAAUUCCUUCCCUUUCAUUCAUCUAAUAUGCAACAGCUCUUAUCUCCUGGGCCAUAACAUGUCAAAUACUUCUACAUAAUUAAAGCCACACUGAUUGACUGGCUAAGAAUAUCACAGGGAUAAGUUUCUUUUUAAAGCUGCCUUAUCUGUAAUCAAGAGUUGUCUUCCAGUAACACAAGAUUUUGUGCCUAAAGGACAUUUUAUAUAUAUCUACACACAUACACAUAUAGAAAUAAUGUUCCUUUCUCCUCCACAAUACAUCAAUAACAAGAAAGUAUCAUCAUACUCUGAUUUCCCUCUGUUGUGUUAAAUUGGAGAGGACAAAAGAUGGCAAGAGGCAUUUAGUAAGGCAGGCAAAAUGCAUAUUUUUUAAAUUAUGGAAACUAUAAUCAAUAUUCCUCCUUUGAUAAAAACCUUUAUUGCACUCCCAAACAGAAUCUUUCCAUAUUUCAUUGCUUUGUGCAUAUCUUAGAUUUGUUGUGAUGGUGGGGUUUAUUUUAGAAAAGAAAAUUAAAAUCUGUAGAGGCCAAAAAACUAUUAACAAAUUGGUGAUGAGGCUUACGUCUUGUCAGGUUAUUUUAUAUUUCAAUGUACUGUUAACAGUUCAUUCUUUUUAAAUACAGAUCUAAGGGCAAAUUUAAAUAUCAAGGCAAGCAAUCUGGUAGCAUGGCAACAAUGUGCUAUGCUGCAUAGUAAGAAUUUGGAACUAUGCAAGCCUGCUUCUUUCCUAUACUGGAUUAUUUUGUAAGAGCAGAAAUCUAUUUAUCUUUGUAAUUGCCUUGAUGAUUAUUUAUCUGUUAGUAGCUGUAGUCUUCUUUAAAACUCAAGACACAACCCUGUGAAGCCUGGUACCAGUCAGAAUGGCCAUCCUUACCAGACACAAAAGCUGCAGAUCAGAAGAAGAAAGAAAAAAAUAAAAAGAAAAAGGAUAUGUUUAGUAACAGUGUUUAAUGCAAGAUUUCAUUCCCAGGAGAGCGAUUUGAUAUGGAUUUGAGGAGCAUAGCAGCUCUGAAGCAAUCUUGCUUCUGCAUGAGAAACAGGUAAUUCCAUCUCCAUACACUCCCCCAGAUGUGUGGAAAAGGCAUCUCUCAGCUUUCAGAGUAUGAGUUUUGAGACCUGUUUUAAAAUUUGACUAAACAAAAACGGUGCACUUACCCUUGCACUGAAAUAAUUUUUGUGGUAGCUCGUAGCAGCGAUUCUUGAGAGCAACAUCAGUUUAUUGAUACCAUUGCACACUUGGUGAUUGGGGAAAAAAAGUAAAAUCCUGUGUUAUUCUAGAACAAAAUCUGGUCUGUGCCACCCUCAUUUUCUUAAUCCAGUAACUCGGGCAUGUUUACCAUGUUGCUGGAGCAGGAAAAGGCAAAGUUAAUGAACGCUUCUGAUUUUCUGAUCUUGAAAGGCACACUUGGGUGACCAAGAGUCCACCCAAGCAUGUUUGUUUCUGGGUAGUGGACGAAGGCAGUAAAGGUGUGGAUGGCAUUGUGGGAGUAUUAUUUUCUUUAUUAUUCUUCACAUAAAGAUCAAGCACUUCACUGAACCUGCACAGUGAAUGCCAAACACAGCUACUCCUUCUGGGAGGGUUUUACAGCACUGCUUAGAUCUGUGCUGUCCCUAUGGACUUGUGCUUCUCACCACAUGUUCCCAUGUUGCAUAACAUCUCUUGGCACUUUGGAUGCCAGUGGUCAAAUCCAGGUCUGCACCCUCACCAGAACACUCAUGGUCAGUGUUACAGAACUGUUAUUUGGGUUGUGAGCUGCUUGUUGCUGGUUUUGUACAUUUAAGAUAGAAAGAAGUAAAUGUGCCUGCUAUGACUACAUUAUGAAUUCCUGGCUAAAUCUAACUUCUGUACUCAGGUGAAAGACUUCUAAAUCUUUCUGUCUUACUACUUAAUUUUCAUUAAAUAAAUAAAUAAAAUAAAUCUUACACUAAA